rnacentral:rRNA from 1 species
UACGAAGGGGGGCGAGCGUUGUUCGGAAUUACUGGGCGUAAAGGGCGCGUAGGCGGCGACCCAAGUCAGAUGUGAAAGUCCUGGGCUUAACCUGGGGACUGCAUUUGAUACUGGGUUGCUUGAAUUCGGGAGAGGAUAGCGGAAUUCCCAGUGUAGAGGUGAAAUUCGUAGAUAUUGGGAAGAACACCGGUGGCGAAGGCGGCUAUCUGGACCGACAUUGACGCUGAGGCGCGAAAGCAUGGGGAGCGAACAGG